CAGUGAUGGCGAGCUGGCUGCAUGCUGAUGGGGCACUUCAUCGGAGAAGCCUCUUGGGUAGUGCAAGAUGCCUGCCUGCUCAGGGCCAGCCUCUGGAAAUGUGGAGCUGCACUCCUGUCUGUGAUAAACUGUAUGCUCUCAAGAGUCGUAGAGGACAGGUAUUUUUUCCCAUGAACCCCUUAGUGCCCCAAGUGGGGCACAAGCUAGGGGACGUGAAGAGUUCUCCACCCCACUUCCAGUGCAGUGGCUCCCAGAUGUUCCCACAGAUGUGGCCCUGGCCACACAGCAACAGGCAGGCCUGGCAUCAGCUGGGCUUCAUCUCAGAAGUGGUUGGGGGCCAGGCUGGUCAGCCCUACCACCAAAGCUUGGAGUACUGGACUACUUGGAGUAGCUGCCAUCCACCCCUAGACGUCCCUACCCCAUGCCUCAGCAAAAACCCCUUGUAAAUUCCAGUACUGUUUAUUUGGGCCCAAGAUGUCAGGCACGGGGCAAUUUCAUACUACCCCAUUUCCACAGGAACCAAAGCAACGCUGUUGUUCCCAUAUGUGAUUUAGUAAGCUAAAUUCAAAAGUAGAAUUGGCAUCUCCAAAUAGUAAGGUAAAAAUGCUUCUGUAUCAAAGUUGUGAUUAAAAAAAUAUAAA